UUUUCGAGCUACAGUGGUCACCAAUUCGGAAAACAUACAUAGUUUUGUAAAAAAUCUGUUUGAAGUUUUAUACGAACGCUCUAGAGCGCCCGAGAACCCUUUGCUAGGUAUCAAAUAAGUCAAAUAGAAUUUGUCGGAUUUACAUCAAAUUUUCAGAGAAUAUUUCUGAGAUACUAUACAUUAAGAAACGGAGAGAUGGAAUUUGAAAAAAUUUAAAGUUUAAUUAUAAAAUUCUAUCAGAGGACUUGAAAUAAUCACAGACACAAGCCACUUCUAACGUUCAUUACGAUUUGAGGUAUAGCAAAAGCGACAAUGACAGCUGCAAAAUUUGACUUGUGCAAAGCAAACUCGGCGUUGACAGCACGUUGGUUGCAUCCGAUGGCCGCUCAAUGGUAAUGGCGCUGUUGCCUAAAUUCCAUUCAAAUUCCGCACAUACCACUGGACAAACAAACUAAAAGGAAAAUACAAUUUUAUAAAGUCUAUAGCAAAAGCGCUAGCUGCAGAAAAGUACGCAAAGAAAGAUUCAUAGCCAAAGCGACGUUGUCGGUGUCGGUGGUAAUAUAUAUAUAAUAUUUGCUAACUUGCUACUCUGCUCGGCCGAUCGUUGUAGACGAUUUUCUCCACUCGCGCUGUUGACAAAUUGUGAAAUUUGCGCUAGAAAAAUCCAAUAAAGUGUAUUUUGUGGAAAAUUGCGUGCGAAGUGAUUAUCAAGUGAAAUUUUGUUUUUUUUUAUGCAUUUAUUGCUUUAUGUAGUUAUUGUUUGUAUGUACUUAAUGUCGCGGCAUCGACUUUGCAAUCUGCUAUUACUGAUGCUGCUGCGGUCGAUAGGCCUGUCCAGUGAUAGUUCGUUGUAGAGCGGCCCCCGUACGCGCUGUGUACAAUAAAAAAAAAAAUUUCGAAUUGGCAUUCGCGUCCGUAUGUCAUUCAAACAUAUGUGUAGCUUUGUGUUUGUAUAGCUGUGUGUAUGUAUUUGCUUAUGUGUGCGGCGACAAACGCGUCAAACAAUAACAAAAAUGCAGGCUGCUGCACUAAUUUCGCCCAUGCAUUGCUUGUGUACCCCCUCCGCCGACAAAAGUGCAAUGCAUUUGUAAUUCAGCUGCUCUGCAAUAUGUACAUCUGUUCUGCUGCCACUUAGUGCGAAUACAUAGUUUGAAAGCAGUAAAUUUUUGAGCUGUUGGCAACAUUAUCACCAACGUCGCCUACAACCCUUUCAGCAUUUUUGCACUCAAACUCAUCUCUCGAAACAUAACCAUAACCGUUACUUUGCGAAAUAAAUGUCACAGUGUUUUGUUCUUGCUUAAGAUUUUUCAUUUCUCAUUGAUUUUAAUUUUAUAAAGCAUAUUUCUUUGUGCGUGUGUGUGUGAGGGUACACCACCCGCGCGCCGUGAAGCGAGAAACCACCUUGCGAAUUUUCGCACAGCUGUGGCUGUCAAUGUUGUUAUUGUUGUUGUCGCCAUUCUCGUUGCCAAUAACUUUGUUGAUUUCGUACGCGCAUUUAUACUUAUUACACAUAUUUACCAUAAAUAUAUGCCAUAUAUGUGUGGGUGUUUGUAGGGGCACAUUUAUUUUCAACGCGCUUGGUUGCGCAGACAACACGUCGUCGCUGUUGGCGCAGCAGUCACGGCUAUCUUGGACUUUUGUACACUACAAUGACAACAAAAACAACAGCAAUAAUAAAAUAAAUAAUGAUUAUACCAACAACAACAGCAGCAGUGGCGCUGUAACGGCUAAGCGAAAACGUCAAAGCGGCGCUAGGGUGGCGCGACCGUCCUGAGCGCACAUACUCAAGGCUCUAACAAAAGCGCGCAUACAUCGGCAUAUGUCUGUCGAUAACGCUAACUCGCUUGCAAAUCGACAAAACAGCAAAGCACCUUUCCCUCGCCACCAGCACCCUUACUCCGCCUACAACUGCGCCCAACGUCCGCGUCAUUGUACGCGCUGUCGCUACCGCCGCGUUUGUCGUUGCGCGUUGUAACGCGUUUCGCUUGCCGUAUUGCCGCGACUGCGUUUGCCGGUUGUUCAGUUUGCAAAUUGUUACCUUUGCGUUUAAAUUAUUUACGCGCGCCAGUGUGCGUGCGUGUCUGUUAGUGCGCGCUUAUUUUCUUCGUAUUGCCUUUGGUUACGCACACGCGCAUCUUUAGCGCUUGUCAGUUGCGUUUGGCAAGCGUAUUGAAUUUGUUGCAAUUUCGUGAUCUUUUUGCUUCGCUUCGCGUGUAGUCGUUGUGUGUGUGCGCCCUUGCAGAGUCGCACAUUCAAAUACAAAGCAAUUAAAAGUGAAACUCGAAAAUUGCGCAAACUUUUUAAAUAUUUUUGUAUAAAUUUUUGCAUAUUUAUUUAUAUUUUGUAAAAUUUUACAGUGUCUCUAUAGUGUUCGUGUGUGUGUUUUAUGAAGUGUAGCCUAUUUGAAUAACAAAACAAAAUUGUUGUUGGCAUGUGAACAUAGUUAGAAGAAAUUGUGAAAAUUGUUUAAAAAAAUUGUUAAAGUGCAAACAGUGUAUAAGAAUUUCCCAAAGUUGACAUUGAACGCCGUUUUGUUGCUAUCGUCAAAAGUAGCUGAUAUUGAAAGAAAAGGCGCUUCUCAUCAUGGAAACUGCAUUGGAUGUACUGUCACGUGCUGCCACAAUGGUGCAGGAUAAUGCGAACGGUGAGUGCAAUUUUAUAUAGAAUUUUGUGGGUGUAAACCAUAACUGUGAAAGUUAACAUUUCUGGAUAUAUAAUUGAAACCUGAAAGCAAAACAAAAAAAUAAAACAUGAAAACACAAAAAAA